AUCCGGCUGAAAAGUCCCAAAUAGGACGAAAUGAGCAUUCUGGAU
rnacentral:hammerhead_ribozyme from 1 species